rnacentral:misc_RNA from 1 species
GAACGCACCUUGCACCCUUUGGUAUUCCGAAGGGUACGCCCGUUUGAGUGUCAUUGUAAUCUCACAUCAACAACUUUUGUUGUGGAUGGUGGAAUUGGACGUCUGUCGUGUUAUACGACUCGUCUGAAAUGUAUGAGUGUACCCUGCCUUGCAGCGUAUCCAGUGUGAUAAGCAUCUUCACUGGUUUGGCCUUUAUUGGCGACGCCUUGGCCACAGGUAGUAUGCUUCUAACUGUCCCUAUGGACAAUACCUUGACAAUUUGACCUCAAAUCGGGUGGGACUACCCGCUGAACUUA